CCAUGCGAGUCGAAUGUAGCAAUACAUGGCGAACUGCUCAGUAACACGUGGACAACUGCCCUUAGGACGGGGAUAAACCCGGAAACUGGGUAUAAUACCCGAUAGGUCUCGAUUGCUGGAAUGCAUCGAGAUUUAAAGCUCCGGCGCCUAAGGAUGGGUCUGCGGCCUAUCAGGUAGUAGUGGGUGUAGCGUACCUACUAGCCUACGACGGGUACGGGUUGUGAGAGCAAGAGCCCGGAGAUGGAUUCUGAGACACGAAUCCAGGCCCUACGGGGUGCAGCAGGCGCGAAAACUUUACAAUGCUGGCAACAGCGAUAAGGGAACCUCGAGUGCCAGGUUACAAAUCUGGCUGUCGAGAUGCCUAAAAAGCAUUUCAUAGCAAGGGCCGGGCAAGACCGGUGCCAGCCGCCGCGGUAACACCGGCGGCUCGAGUGGUAACCGUUAUUAUUGGGUCUAAAGGGUCUGUAGCCGGCCGGAUAAGUCUCUUGAGAAAUCUGGCAGCUUAACUGUCAGGCUUUCAGGAGAUACUGUCUGGCUCGAGGCCGGGAGAGGUGAGAGGUACUUCAGGGGUAGG
rnacentral:rRNA from 1 species